CGCGUAGGUGGCUAAUUAAGUCAAAUGUGAAAUCCCCGAGCUUAACUUGGGAAUUGCAUUCGAUACUGGUUAGCUAGAGUAUGGGAGAGGAUGGUAGAAUUCCAGGUGUAGCGGUGAAAUGCGUAGAGAUCUGGAGGAAUACCGAUGGCGAAGGCAGCCCCCUGGGACAAUACUGACGCUCAGGCACGAAAGCGUGGGGAGCAAACAGGAUUAGAUACCCCCGUA
rnacentral:rRNA from 1 species